rnacentral:rRNA from 1 species
AUUGAACGCUGGCGGCAUGCCUUACACACGUAAGUCGAACGGUAACAGGUUAAGCUGACGAGUGGCGAACGGGUGAGUAAUAUAUCGGAACGUGCCCAGUCGUGGGGGAUAACUGCUCGAAAGAGCAGCUAAUACCGCAUACGACCUGAGGGUGAAAGCGGGGGAUCGCAAGACCUCGCGCGAUUGGAGCGGCCGAUAUCAGAUUAGGUAGUUGGUGGGGUAAAGGCCCACCAAGCCAACGAUCCGUAGCUGGUCUGAGAGGACGACCAGCCACACUGGGACUGAGACACGGCCCAGACUCCUACGGGAGGCAGCAGUGGGGAAUUUUGGACAAUGGGCGCAAGCCUGGUGCAGCCAUGCCGCGUGCGGGAAGAAGGCCUUCGGGUUGUAAACCGCUUUUGUCAGGGAAGAAAAGGUUCUGGUGAAUACCUGGGACUCAUGACGGUACCUGAAGAAUAAGCACCGGCUAACUACGUGCCAGCCGCCGCAGUAACAC